UUUCUAUGAUGAGUCUAACUAGCUCACUAUGAUAAUGAUAAUGAAAAUAUACGAACACCUGAGAAAC